rnacentral:rRNA from 1 species
UUUGCCUACGGGACGCAGCAGUGGGGAAUAUUGCACAAUGGGGGAAACCCUGAUGCAGCGACGCCGCGUGAGUGAAGAAGUAUUUCGGUACGUAAAGCUCUAUCAGCAGGGAAGAAAAAAAGUCCUUUGGACUUUGGACGGUACCUGACUAAGAAGCCCCGGCUAACUACGUGCCAGCAGCCGCGGUAAUACGUAGGGGGCAAGCGUUAUCCGGAUUUACUGGGUGUAAAGGGAGCGUAGGCGGUUUAGCAAGUCAGAAGUGAAAGCCCGGGGCUCAACUCCGGGAC